rnacentral:lncRNA from 1 species
GAUGACUGCACCUCCUGCUGACAUGCUGAUAGCAGCCGUGUGAAAGCCCAGAGCCAGAGGUCCCAGCUAAGCCACAUCCGGAUUCCUGACCCACAGAAACUGUGAGAUAGUAAAUCGCAAAGCUUCCCAGCAGGAGAACCAAGACACACUGGUAUGCGGAAUAUGGAUUACCGACGAGCCCAGGAGAUUGGUCCUUCAACCCCUGGGGCUGCCAGGAGCAGGAGCUGUACGUGGUCCGUCACUAGAGCAUCUCCAGCCAGUCCAGUCAUCUCCCAGCAUUAUUCUGUCCAAUCAGCUGGAAGAGGAUCUCAAUCUAAUGCUGUAUGGUCCAGCUGACUAUCAGAGCAUCCAGCAUUGCAUCAGCAACAAGGGUUAGGUGGGGUGGAUAAGGGAGGGGAUGGGAGCUGAGGGGGCAAUGUAGCUGACUGCCUUGAACAAGUCUCUCUUUCUGUAGACCUGCUUUUACUCUUUCUCCAGGAUGCAGUAAAAAAUAGCUAAUUAAAUUAUUUUUCUUGGGGACAAGGAUUGUGUCUUCAUUGAUAUCAUUCAUUGCCUGAACGUGUUAAAAAUUGUUACUUUCU